rnacentral:rRNA from 1 species
CAGUCGAGGGGUAUAGUUCUUCGGAACUAGAGACCGGCGCACGGGUGCGUAACGCGUAUGCAAUCUACCUUUCACAAAGGGAUAGCCCAGAGAAAUUUGGAUUAAUACCUUAUAGUAUAUAUGAAUGGCAUCAUUUAUAUAUUAAAGAUUUAUCGGUGAAAGAUGAGCAUGCGUCCCAUUAGCUAGUUGGUAAGGUAACGGCUUACCAAGGCAACGAUGGGUAGGGGUCCUGAGAGGGAGAUCCCCCACACUGGUACUGAGACACGGACCAGACUCCUACGGGAGGCAGCAGUGAGGAAUAUUGGACAAUGGGCGCAAGCCUGAUCCAGCCAUGCCGCGUGCAGGAUGACGGUCCUAUGGAUUGUAAACUGCUUUUAUACGAGAAGAAACCCUCCGACGUGUCGGAGCUUGACGGUAUCGUAAGAAUAAGGAUCGGCUAACUCCGUGCCAGCAGCCGCGGUAAUACGGAGGAUCCAAGCGUUAUCCGGAAUCAUUGGGUUUAAAGGGUCCGUAGGCGGUCAGGUAAGUCAGUGGUGAAAGCCCAUCGCUCAACGGUGGAACGGCCAUUGAUACUGUCUGACUUGAAUUAUUAGGAAGUAACUAGAAUAUGUAGUGUAGCGGUGAAAUGCUCAGAGAUUACAUGGAAUACCAAUUGCGAAGGCAGGUUACUACUAAUGGAUUGACGCUGAUGGACGAAAGCGUGGGUAGC